AGCGAACGCUGGCGGCAGGCCUAACACAUGCAAGUCGAGCGCCCCGCAAGGGGAGCGGCAGACGGGUGAGUAACACGUGGGAACGUGCCCUUCGGUUCGGAAUAGCCCGGGGAAACUCGGAGUAAUACCGGAUACGUCCCUCAGGAGAAAGAUUUAUCGCCGAAGGAGCGGCCCGCGUCUGAUUAGCUGGUUGGUGAGGUAACGGCUCACCAAGGCUACGAUCAGUAGCUGGUCUGAGAGGAUGAUCGGCCACACUGGGACUGAGACACGGCCCAGACUCCUACGGGAGGCAGCAGUGGGGAAUAUUGGACAAUGGGCGCAAGCCUGAUCCAGCCAUGCCGCGUGAGUGAUGAAGGCCCUAGGGUUGUAAAGCUCUUUCGGCGGGGAAGAUAAUGACGGUACCCGCAGAAGAAGCCCCGGCCAACUUCGUGCCAGCAGCCGCGGUAACAC
rnacentral:rRNA from 1 species